GCCGAGGUAGCUCAGGGGUAGAGCAGCUGAUUCGUAAUCAGCAGGUCGUGGGUUCAAUUCCCAUCCUCGGCU
rnacentral:tRNA from 4 species